rnacentral:rRNA from 1 species
GACGAACGCUGGCGGCGUGCUUAACACAUGCAAGUCGAACGAUGAAGAAAAGAAUUGAAGCUUCGGCAGAAAUUCAUUUCGGAUUAGUGGCAGACGGGUGAGUAACGCGUGAGCAACCUACCUCUUACAAAGGGAUAGCCUCGGGAAACCGGGAUUAAUACCAUAUAACAUUGCGACGAAGCAUUUCGAUGCAAUCAAAGCUACGGCGGUAAGAGAUGGGCUCGCGUCCCAUUAACCAGAUGGUGAGGUAACGGCUCACCAUAGUAACGAUGGGUAACCGGACUGAGAGGGUGAACGGUCACACUGGAACUGAGACACGGUCCAGACUCCUACGGGAAGCAGCAGUGGGGAAUAUUGCACAAUGGAGGGAACUCUGAUGCAGCGACGCCGCGUGAGUGAUGAAGGAAUUCGUUUCGUAAAACUCUGUUCUAUGGGAAGAAAAGGACUGUACCAUAGGAGAAAGCUCCGGCUAAAUACGUG